AAACCGCUUAGGGGUUAAGCCCGAUGAACCUGAAUAUCCGAAAUGGAAAAUUCAAUAAUGUUUUUUCGAAUAUUUUUCAUUAAAUGUUUGAACGUUAUGCACUUUUUCCAUAGUAGGACAUUGCAAUUUAUUAACAUAUACUAUCCUUCGGGAUAGUUACAUUUAUUAAACGGCCCUAUAUAUGCAAGUUUAUUCAAUACCUUUGGUUUAUUCUAAAGUGCUAUGGUUUAAUGCUAUAAUGGUGUUUCCUAAUAAAUGGUUGAUAAAUUUAUAAAUCUUAAAUUGCACAGACAUAGCGAUAUGUAAUUCACGGUACAUUUCAAUUAUUGAUUUGUAUGCAGUGUUAUGUGUUUAUUUGAUUUGCAAUGCGAUAGAUUUGGGAUACCUUCGGGACCCGUCUUGAAACACGGACCAAGAAGUCUAACAUGUGUGCAAGUCAUUGGGUAUGUGUGUUGAAACCUAAAGGCGAAAUUAAAAUAACUAUUUUAAUGGGAUUAUAAGCGAUUAAAUACGUUAAACUAUUUAUCGUUUUUCCAUCCCGGGGCGUUCAUAUAUAAACAUGGUUUAAGCAAUUAAACU
rnacentral:rRNA from 1 species